GAAAUGCGAUAAGUAAUGUGAAUUGCAGAAUUCCGUGAAUCAUCGAAUCUUUGAACGCACAUUGCGCCCUCUGGCAUUCCGAUGGGCAUGCCUGUUCGAGCGUCAUUAUCUUCCCUCAAACCUCGGGUUUGGUGUUGGGCCGUGCUGGUUCCGUCGUGACCAACUGGCCUCAAAGACAAUGGCGGCGUCCGUGGGACCCUCGGUGCAACGAGCUUUCUCAGGAGCACGCGUCGAGUUUCAAGGACCUUCCGGGCCGGUCUCUCUUGUUUAUCACAAAGGUUGACCUCGGAUCAGGUAGGGAUACCCGCUGAACUUAAGC
rnacentral:misc_RNA from 1 species